UUUCACUUCGAAGUAUUAAGAGCGGAAACUUUUCUGUGUUGAUAGACGAUAUUUUCUGUAAUACAUAUAUUUUUGUGAAACUUAGAACAUACUCCAUCUCAAGUAAUAUUGCAUCACUUCAGAUUGUUGGUAGAACAUUUCCCAGCAAACCGAGAGUCUGUUUUACCAAAAGUACUACAGAUUUAUCAUACAAAAUGUCAAAGAUGAACCAAAGAUGUAAACAAAAACUCAAAAGGCGUAGUCUGACAAUUAAACAAAAAGUUGAGGUAUUGAAACGCAUGAAAAAUAAAAAGUCUACAAAAACUGGG